CAAGGGUUAGUUUAUUAAAAUAUUGUUUUUGGGGAGCAAUGAUAGGAGUUUUUCUACCCUUGA
rnacentral:tRNA from 1 species